rnacentral:rRNA from 1 species
CAGUAACGCGUAGUCAACCUACCCUAUGGACGGGGAUAACCUCGGGAAACUGAGAAUAAUACCCGAUAGAACAUUAUACCUGGAAUGGUUUAUGUUUCAAAUAAUUUAUUGCCGUAGGAUGGGACUGCGGCCUAUCAGUUUGUUGGUGAGGUAAUGGCCCACCAAGACUAUUACAGGUACGGGCUCUGAGAGGAGUAGCCCGGAGAUGGGUACUGAGACACGGACCCAGGCCCUAUGGGGCGCAGCAGGCGAGAAAACUUUGCAAUGUGCGAAAGCACGACAAGGUUAAUCCGAGUGGUUUCUGCUAAAGGAACCUUUUGUCAGUCCUAGAAACACUGAUGAAUAAGGGGUGGGCAAGUUCUGGUGUCAGCCGCCGCGGUAAAACCAGCACCUCAAGUGGUCAGGAUGAUUAUUGGGCCUAAAGCAUCCGUAGCCUGCUUUGUUAGUUUUCGGUUAAAUCCAUACGCUUAACGUAUGGGCUGCCGGAAAUACUGCAAAGCUAGGGAGUGGGAGAGGUAGACGGUACUCGGUAGGAAGGGGUAAAAUCCUUUGAUCUAUUGAUGACCACCUGUGGCGAAGGCGGUCUACCAAAACACGUCCGACGGUGAGGGAUGAAAGCUGGGGGAGCAAACCGGAUUAAAUACCCGGGUAGUCCCAGCUGUAAACUAUGCAAACUCGGUGAUGCAUUGGCUUGAUGCCAAUGCAGUGCCGCAGGGAAGCCGUUAAGUUUGCCGCCUGGGAAGUACGUACGCAAGUAUGAAACUUAAAGGAAUUGGCGGGGGAGCACCACAAGGGGGGAAGCCUGCGGUUC